CAGACUUCAUUUCACAGUCAGCAGAGCAGAAGGAGGAAAACAAGUCUGAGGCAGAACAAAAAAUCACACUUUGAGACGAGAGCCUCAUUUUCAGACGUUGUCAGUUUACCAGUAUUAACGAACCAAUCAAAACAUGGGAAAACAACACAGUUCACUGAACCACAGCAAACAGCAUUUAAGCAGAAAAAUG